rnacentral:rRNA from 1 species
AACGAACGCUGGCGGCAUGCCUAACACAUGCAAGUCGAACGAGACCUUCGGGUCUAGUGGCGCACGGGUGCGUAACGCGUGGGAACCUGCCCUUAGGUUCGGAAUAACUCCCCGAAAGGGGUGCUAAUACCGGAUAAUGUCUUCGGACCAAAGAUUUAUCGCCUUUGGAUGGGCCCGGGUUGGAUUAGCUAGUUGGUAGGGUAAAAGCCUACCAAGGCGACGAUCCAUAGCUGGUCUGAGAGGAUGAUCAGCCACACUGGGACUGAGACACGGCCCAGACUCCUACGGGAGGCAGCAGUAGGGAAUAUUGGACAAUGGGCGAAAGCCUGAUCCAGCAAUGCCGCGUGAGUGAUGAAGGCCUUAGGGUUGUAAAGCUCUUUUACCCGGGAUGAUAAUGACAGUACCGGGAGAAUAAGCUCCGGCUAACUCCGUG